GGAGACCAUAGGUUCGAAUCCCGUUUAGGAACUUCAACUUGCGCAUCUCUAAAAGAAGCUGGAAUUAUUGGCUUGUACUCAAGAGUAUACAGAGACUCACCGUUCACAACAGCACUGAGAAAAACUUUCUCCAGGAUCCCUGGCAACUGUCUUUAAGUCCCUUACUGAGAUGUCCCAUGGUUCCCUGUGGAGUGCCUUCUUCACUGCAAUGAGUAAUAAUCCCAACUUGUUCAACUACAGAUUGUGUCAUAGGGAGAUGUUUGUUCUGUGUCUCCCAAUACCAGCCAUGGAGUGGGGACUCCUGUUUCUCAGGAUGGACGUUGCUCAGAUGGUUGUUGGAGUCCAUCUCUCCUCAGGCCUACGAUAACCCAGCACAAUGGAAGCCAGCCACCAUGUCAUGGAGACACUCAAGGAGUCUCUCGAAGAGAUACACACACUGCAGAAUCGAGGCACCCCAGCUAAAGCCAGUACUACCGUGCCAGUCAUGGGAGUAAUCCAGCUUGGAAGUGGAGCAUCUGGCCCCAGUCAAACCUUCAGAUGAUGGCAGCCUGAGAAACCCAAAGCCAGAGCCACCCAGCUAAGUUGCUCCUGAAUUCCUGACUUGCAGAAACUGUGUGAGAUAAUUAAUGUUUACUAUUGUGUUAAGCCAGUAAAUUUGGAGGUAAUUUGUUACACAGCAAUAAAUAACUCAUAAAUGUUGUUUCUGAGCAAUUUGAGGAUCUGUCCAGGGUUCAAGACUUCUGAGACUUUUCAUGGCCUAUAUCCAUGCUAUGAUGUCUGGAUUUUGGGGGCAUUCUGUAUUUCACAUUUUUAGGUCUCUGUUUUUUUUUGGUUUCCCUCUCUCUAGGAUUUUAGAUCUCUGAACUAUUUGGAGACCUAUGUCCCACAGUGUAGGGAUUCUGGGUUGUUUUUCUGUGCAUGUUCAGAAUGUGAUCGUAACUGUUUGGGAUCCUUUUUUUUUUUUUUUUUUUUUUUGCUCAAGAAACUGAAAUCUAUGUUUGGGAUCCUUAAUGCUAGGGUAUGAUGUCUCUAAGAUACUUUCUACUUGGCUCCAGAAUUUGAAUUCUCUGAGCUUUCUGGCAGACUGUAUUCUGAGUGUGAGGUCACUGGGGUGUUUGGGAGUCUGUGUCUUAGGUUUCACAUCCAUGAACUCUUUGGAGGACUGUAUACUGGUGUUGUUUACUCUUUGAGGUGUAUAGAUUUUUAAAUCCCAGGAGGAGACAUCACCAAGGUGACUGGAGCCUGCAUCCAAGACACUAGGUGUUAGAGUUGUUUGGGCCACUUAGUCCUUGGAUAUGAAAUUUCUAAUGUGUUUGAGAGUCUAUGUCCAGAUAUUGAUAUUUCUCAGUUUGAAGGGAGAGGGAAUCAGUUCUCUGAACUGUUUACCAAUAUAUGUCCCAGGAUGUAAGGUUCCUGAGCUGUUUGUGGUUGUGCCUGACAUGUUUAUAGCUGUAUAUCACAGUGUAUGAGGUAUCUGUUCAUGGGUAUAUGUACCAGGGUGUGAGGUAUCUGAAUUCUUUGAGUGUGUGUGUCCAAGGUUGUGAGAUCUCUGAUCUAUUUGAGUCUAUAGUUCCUAGAAUGAGAGCUUUCUUAUUUCUUUGUGGGUAUAUAUUCCAAGGUGUGAGUUCUAUGAUCUGUUUGGGUAUGUAUGUGAGGUUUCUGCUCUGUUCGUGGGCAUAUGUCCAAUGUUGUAAGGUUUCUGAUCUGCUUGUGAGAAUAUGUCCCAGGGUAUGAGGUCUCUGAUCUGUUUUUAGUUUUAUGUCCCUGGAUAUUAGAUCUCUGAUCUCUUUGUGGGUAUAGUGCCAAUGGUGGGAGGUCUCUGAAUUCUUUCAGGUUAUAUUUCCCUGAAUGUUAUAUUUCUGAGUUUUUUAAAUUGUAUUUUCUAGGGAUAUGAGUACUCUUAUCUGUAGGUUAUAUGGGUAUUGCAGAAUACAAGGACUAUUGUUUCCAAGGGUAUAUGUCCCAAGGUGUGAGAUCUCUGUCAUGGCUGUGGGUAUAUGUCUCUAGGUGUGAGGUCCCUAAAAUGUUUGUGGGUAUAUUUCCCAGGAUGUGAGUUCCCUGAGCUCUUUCUUAGUGGGUGUAUAUCCCAGAAUAUGCAAUCUAUGAUCGAUUUGUGAGUAUAUGUCCCAGAAUGUGAGGUCUCAUAUCUAUCUAUCCCUAUAUAUGUUCCAGUACGUGAGGUAUCUCUUCAUGGGUGUAUGUCAAGGGUAUGAGGUCUCUGAUAUUUUUGCGGUUAUAUGUCCCAGGGUAUGAGGUCUCUGAUCUGUAUGGGGGUAAAUUUCUCAGAGUGAGUUCUCAAGUCCAUUUGUGGCUAUAUGAGCUAGGAUGUUGGUCUCUCCUCUCUUUGGGUGUGUUUGUCCCAUGGUGUGAAGCCUCUGAGCUCCUUGUCAGUAUAUAUGCAGACAUAUGAUGUGUCUGAUCUCUUUGGUGGUAUAUUUCCCAUGAUGUGAAGUCUCUGGUCCAUUUGUUGCUGUAUACUAAUAUGUGCCUAUCUUCACUGGUGUAUGUCAAAGUCAAUUUGUGAGUGUAUUUUCCACGGUAUGAGGUCUCUGAUUUAUUUCUGGGUGUAUGUCUUGAAGUAAGAAGUCUCUGAUGUGUUUGUCCACAUAUGUCUCUGUAUAUAAGAUCUCUAAUCUGUUCAUGAAUAUACGGAGAAUUUGAGGUCUUUCAUCUUCUUUAUGGUUAUAAUCCCCAGAUGUGAUGACUGUGUUAUGUUUGUGGCUGUAUGUCCUAGAAUUUUAGGUAUAUGUAAGUAUGUCCCCAGACAUUCUCUGAUCUGUUUAUGGGUAUAUGUCUCAGGAUUCUUAUUUUGUUUUUCAUUUGCUACCCUUUUUUCCUAUUAUUUAUUUAUUUUAAUUUCAGAAUAUUACA